rnacentral:rRNA from 1 species
CCUUAGAGUUUGAUCCUGGCUCAGGAUGAACGCUAGCUACAGGCUUAACACAUGCAAGUCGAGGGGCAGCAUGGUCUUAGCUUGCUAAGGCCGAUGGCGACCGGCGCACGGGUGAGUAACACGUAUCCAACCUGCCGUCUACUCUUGGACAGCCUUCUGAAAGGAAGAUUAAUACAAGAUGGCAUCAUGAGUCCGCAUGUUCACAUGAUUAAAGGUAUUCCGGUAGACGAUGGGGAUGCGUUCCAUUAGAUAGUAGGCGGGGUAACGGCCCACCUAGUCUUCGAUGGAUAGGGGUUCUGAGAGGAAGGUCCCCCACAUUGGAACUGAGACACGGUCCAAACUCCUACGGGAGGCAGCAGUGAGGAAUAUUGGUCAAUGGGCGAGAGCCUGAACCAGCCAAGUAGCGUGAAGGAUGACUGCCCUAUGGGUUGUAAACUUCUUUUAUAAAGGAAUAAAGUCGGGUAUGGAUACCCGUUUGCAUGUACUUUAUGAAUAAGGAUCGGCUAACUCCGUGCCAGCAGCCGCGGUAAUACGGAGGAUCCGAGCGUUAUCCGGAUUUAUUGGGUUUAAAGGGAGCGUAGAUGGAUGUUUAAGUCAGUUGUGAAAGUUUGCGGCUCAACCGUAAAAUUGCAGUUGAUACUGGAUAUCUUGAGUGCAGUUGAGGCAGGCGGAAUUCGUGGUGUAGCGGUGAAAUGCUUAGAUAUCACGAAGAACUCCGAUUGCGAAGGCAGCCUGCUAAGCUGCAACUGACAUUGAGGCUCGAAAGUGUGGGUAUCAAACAGGAUUAGAUACCCUGGUAGUCCACACGGUAAACGAUGAAUACUCGCUGUUUGCGAUAUACUGCAAGCGGCCAAGCGAAAGCGUUAAGUAUUCCACCUGGGGAGUACGCCGGCAACGGUGAAACUCAAAGGAAUUGACGGGGGCCCGCACAAGCGGAGGAACAUGUGGUUUAAUUCGAUGAUACGCGAGGAACCUUACCCGGGCUUAAAUUGCAGAUGAAUUACGGUGAAAGCCGUAAGCCGCAAGGCAUCUGUGAAGGUGCUGCAUGGUUGUCGUCAGCUCGUGCCGUGAGGUGUCGGCUUAAGUGCCAUAACGAGCGCAACCCUUGUUGUCAGUUACUAACAGAUUCCGCUGAGGACUCUGACAAGACUGCCAUCGUAAGAUGUGAGGAAGGUGGGGAUGACGUCAAAUCAGCACGGCCCUUACGUCCGGGGCUACACACGUGUUACAAUGGGGGGUACAGAGGGCCGCUACCACGCGAGUGGAUGCCAAUCCCCAAAACCUCUCUCAGUUCGGACUGGAGUCUGCAACCCGACUCCACGAAGCUGGAUUCGCUAGUAAUCGCGCAUCAGCCACGGCGCGGUGAAUACGUUCCCGGGCCUUGUACACACCGCCCGUCAAG